rnacentral:rRNA from 1 species
UACGUAGGGUGCAAGCGUUGUCCGGAAUUAUUGGGCGUAAAGAGCUCGUAGGCGGCUUGUUGCGUCGGCUGUGAAAACCCGCGGCUUAACCGCGGGCUUGCAGUCGAUACGGGCAGGCUAGAGUUCGGUAGGGGAGACUGGAAUUCCUGGUGUAGCGGUGAAAUGCGCAGAUAUCAGGAGGAACACCGAUGGCGAAGGCAGGUCACUGGGCCGCAACUGACGCUGAGGAGCGAAAGCAUGGGGAGCGAACAGG